UUUCAGAAGAAGCACCAAGAAAGACAUUGAG
rnacentral:piRNA from 1 species